AAAAUAUCAGAUUCUCAGUGUGCCGUUGCUGUUAAGGCAACCAGUUAAGUGGAGCCAUCAGAAAUAGAAGCUGACGAAAGACAUCAACAUCUGUUUCGUUGCUG